rnacentral:piRNA from 1 species
UAAGAAUGGUCAAAAACUUGGCCUUGGCUGU